rnacentral:rRNA from 1 species
UACGUAGGGACCGAGCGUUGUCCGGAAUCAUUGGGCGUAAAGGGCCAGUAGGCGGCCAACUAAGUCCGACGUGAAAUCCCCAGGCUUAACCUGGGAACUGCGUCGGAUACUGGAUGGCUUGAAUUCGGGAGAGGGAUGCAGAAUUCCAGGUGUAGCGGUGAAAUGCGUAGAUAUCUGGAGGAAUACCGGUGGCGAAGGCGGCAUCCUGGACCGAGAUUGACGCUGAACGGCGAAAGCUAGGGGAGCAAACGGG